rnacentral:rRNA from 1 species
UACGGAGGGAGCUAGCGUUGUUCGGAAUUACUGGGCGUAAAGCGCGCGUAGGUGGCCUUCUAAGUUGAACGUGAAAUCCCUGGGCUCAACCCAGGAACUGCGUCCAAGACUGGGAGGCUUGAAUCCGGGAGAAGGAUGCGGAAUUCCAGGUGUAGCGGUGAAAUGACGUAGAUAUCUGGAGGAACACCGGUGGCGAAGGCGGCAUCCUGGACCGGUAUUGACACUGAGGCGCGAAAGCCAGGGGAGCAAACGGGG